AGAGUUUGAUCAUGGCUCAGAUUGAACGCUGGCGGCAGGCCUAACACAUGCAAGUCGAGCGGUAGCACAGAGAGCUUGCUCUCGGGUGACGAGCGGCGGACGGGUGAGUAAUGUCUGGGAAACUGCCUGAUGGAGGGGGAUAACUACUGGAAACGGUAGCUAAUACCGCAUAACGUCGCAAGACCAAAGUGGGGGACCUUCGGGCCUCAUGCCAUCAGAUGUGCCCAGAUGGGAUUAGCUAGUAGGUGGGGUAACGGCUCACCUAGGCGACGAUCCCUAGCUGGUCUGAGAGGAUGACCAGCCACACUGGAACUGAGACACGGUCCAGACUCCUACGGGAGGCAGCAGUGGGGAAUAUUGCACAAUGGGCGCAAGCCUGAUGCAGCCAUGCCGCGUGUGUGAAGAAGGCCUUCGGGUUGUAAAGCACUUUCAGCGGGGAGGAAGGCGUUAAGGUUAAUAACCUCAUCGAUUGACGUUACCCGCAGAAGAAGCACCGGCUAACUCCGUGCCAGCAGCCGCGGUAAUACGGAGGGUGCAAGCGUUAAUCGGAAUUACUGGGCGUAAAGCGCACGCAGGCGGUCUGUCAAGUCGGAUGUGAAAUCCCCGGGCUCAACCUGGGAACUGCAUUCGAAACUGGCAGGCUAGAGUCUUGUAGAGGGGGGUAGAAUUCCAGGUGUAGCGGUGAAAUGCGUAGAGAUCUGGAGGAAUACCGGUGGCGAAGGCGGCCCCCUGGACAAAGACUGACGCUCAGGUGCGAAAGCGUGGGGAGCAAACAGGAUUAGAUACCCUGGUAGUCCACGCCGUAAACGAUGUCGAUUUGGAGGUUGUGCCCUUGAGGCGUGGCUUCCGGAGCUAACGCGUUAAAUCGACCGCCUGGGGAGUACGGCCGCAAGGUUAAAACUCAAAUGAAUUGACGGGGGCCCGCACAAGCGGUGGAGCAUGUGGUUUAAUUCGAUGCAACGCGAAGAACCUUACCUGGUCUUGACAUCC
rnacentral:rRNA from 1 species